GCCGUGAUCGUAUAGUGGUUAGUACCUUGCGUUGUGGCCGCAAGAACCCAGGUUCGAAUCCUGGUCACGGCA
rnacentral:tRNA from 1 species